CUGAAAGUAUGCUUUGAUGCGCCCAAGUUUUCCUGAAGCUUCGUGUAGUUCUAUUGCGUCCUGCCGCGAGUCUGGACGGGAGUCCCCGGAAGUACUGUGGCUUGCCGGAAAUUCUCGCUGGUAAAAUAGUCACCAGAUCUUGCCGGAAAGUUUAGGGAACUGAAUCAGCGUCGAAGAAACGGUGUUGAUCCGAUCAGUGACGUAAUUCUCCGGCGAAGUAAGCGAAUCCUUUCUUUCCAGCGAACGAGCAGUCGACACUGACAAAUGGCUUUAGACGAUGUCUAUUCAGGAAAAAUUACUUCUGAUUCCUGAUAUACCUGUAGAGAAGGAAAAGGAAAACCAACAAGAAAGUAGAAAAUCUGGACAAGAGGUUAUAUAGAAUGAAACCAACAAGAAAGUAGAAACUUUGUUUCUAACUAAACAAGUUGACAUAAAAUGAAACGGUGUUGAUCCGAUCAGUGACGUAAUUCUCCGGCGAGUUCUUUUGAGGUGAUUAUAUCUACGAAUAAAGUCAAAAGUGGAAUAGAGAGAGGAAAUAAAAAGACGACAAGAACAGUUAAGAAACUGAAGGAAAAGUCAAAAAAAAAGGGGGAAAAAUUAUC
rnacentral:lncRNA from 1 species